rnacentral:rRNA from 1 species
GACGAACGCUGGCGGCGUGCCUAAUACAUGCAAGUCGAGCGAAUGGAUUAAGAGCUUGCUCUUAUGAAGUUAGCGGCGGACGGGUGAGUAACACGUGGGUAACCUGCCCAUAAGACUGGGAUAACUCCGGGAAACCGGGGCUAAUACCGGAUAACAUUUUGAACCGCAUGGUUCGAAAUUGAAAGGCGGCUUCGGCUGUCACUUAUGGAUGGACCCGCGUCGCAUUAGCUAGUUGGUGAGGUAACGGCUCACCAAGGCAACGAUGCGUAGCCGACCUGAGAGGGUGAUCGGCCACACUGGGACUGAAACACGGCCCAGACUCCUACGGGAGGCAGCAGUAGGGAAUCUUCCGCAAUGGACGAAAGUCUGACGGGGCAACGCCGCGUGAGUGAUGAAGGCUUUCGGGUCGUAAAACUCUGUUGUUAGGGAAGAACAAGUGCCAGUUGAAUAAGCUGGCACCUUGACGGUACCUAACCAGAAAGCCACGGCUAACUACGUGCCAGCCGCCGCGGUAA